AGCGAACGCUGGCGGCAGGCUUAACACAUGCAAGUCGAGCGGGCACUUUCGGGUGUCAGCGGCGGACGGGUGAGUAACGCGUGGGAACGUGCCCUCUGGUUCGGAAUAACUCAGGGAAACUUGAGCUAAUACCGGAUACGCCCUUUUGGGGAAAGGCUUGCUGCCGGAGGAUCGGCCCGCGUCUGAUUAGCUAGUUGGUGAGGUAACGGCUCACCAAGGCGACGAUCAGUAGCUGGUCUGAGAGGAUGAUCAGCCACACUGGGACUGAGACACGGCCCAGACUCCUACGGGAGGCAGCAGUGGGGAAUAUUGGACAAUGGGCGCAAGCCUGAUCCAGCCAUGCCGCGUGAGUGAUGAAGGUCUUAGGGUUGUAAAGCUCUUUUACCCGGGACGAUAAUGACGGUACCGGAGGAAUAAGCCCCGGCUAACUUCGUG
rnacentral:rRNA from 1 species